rnacentral:rRNA from 1 species
AGGGAAAGAGGGAGGCAGGCCGAACACAUGCAAGUCGAGCGGAUGAAGGGAGCUUGCUCCUGGAUUCAGCGGCGGACGGGUGAGUAAUGCCUAGGAAUCUGCCUGGUAGUGGGGGAUAACGUCCGGAAACGGGCGCUAAUACCGCAUACGUCCUGAGGGAGAAAGUGGGGGAUCUUCGGACCUCACGCUAUCAGAUGAGCCUAGGUCGGAUUAGCUAGUUGGUGGGGUAAAGGCCUACCAAGGCGACGAUCCGUAACUGGUCUGAGAGGAUGAUCAGUCACACUGGAACUGAGACACGGUCCAGACUCCUACGGGAGGCAGCAGUGGGGAAUAUUGGACAGUGGGCGAAAGCCUGAUCCAGCCAUGCCGCGUGUGUGAAGAAGGUCUUCGGAUUGUAAAGCACUUUAAGUUGGGAGGAAGGGCAGUAAGUUAAUACCUUGCUGUUUUGACGUUACAAACAGAAUAAGCACCGGCUAACUUCGUG